rnacentral:rRNA from 1 species
UACGUAGGGUGCAAGCGUUAUCCGGAAUUAUUGGGCGUAAAGAGCGUGUAGGCGGCCAGGUAGGUCGGUUGUGAAAACUGGAGGCUCAACCUUCAGACGUCGACCGAAACCCCCUGGCUAGAGUCCGGGAGAGGAGAGUGGAAUUCCUGGUGUAGCGGUGGAAUGCGCAGAUAUCAGGAAGAACACCCGUGGCGAAAGCGGCUCUCUGGAACGGUACUGACGCUGAGACGCGAAAGCGUGGGGAGCGAACAGG